rnacentral:tRNA from 1 species
GCGGAUGUAGCUCGAUGGCAGAGCAUCAGAGUUUCUCCGUGAAUUCCUUCUUCACGCCCUUGACCGUUCGGGUUCGAGUCCCGUCAUCCGCU